rnacentral:rRNA from 1 species
GCAUGCCUACAACAUAGCAUUAAUGCACCAGAUCCCAUUAGAACUCCACAAUUAAGCAUGCUCAGGAUAGAGUAGUACUGGGAUGGGUGACUUCCCGGGAAGUCCUAGUGUUUUACAUGCC